GGACAACCGCUGGAAACGGCGGCUAAUACCGGAUACUCCGGGAGGGCCCCAUGGCCCUGCCGGGAAAGCCGAGACGGCGCGGGAUGGGGUCGCGGCCCAUUAGGUAGACGGCGGGGUAACGGCCCACCGUGCCCGCGAUGGGUAGCCGGACUGAGAGGUCGACCGGCCACAUUGGGACUGAGAUACGGCCCAGACUCCUACGGGAGGCAGCAGUGGGGAAUUUUGCGCAAUGGGGGAAACCCUGACGCAGCAACGCCGCGUGCGGGACGAAGGCCCUCGGGUUGUAAACCGCUUUCAGCAGGGAAGAUCAAGACGGUACCUGCAGAAGAAGCUCCGGCUAACUACGUGCCAGCAGCCGCGGUAAUACGUAGGGGGCGAGCGUUAUCCGGAUUCAUUGGGCGUAAAGCGCGCGUAGGCGGCCGCCUAAGCGGGACCUCUAACCCCGGGGCUCAACCCCGGGCCGGGUCCCGGACUGGGCGGCUCGAGUGCGGUAGAGGAGAGCGGAAUUCCCGGUGUAGCGGUGGAAUGCGCAGAUAUCGGGAAGAACACCGAUGGCGAAGGCAGCUCUCUGGGCCGUCACUGACGCUGAGGCGCGAAAGCUGGGGGAGCGAACAGGAUUAGAUACCCUGAUAGUCCCAGCUGUAAACG
rnacentral:rRNA from 1 species